GACGAACGCUGGCGGCGUGCUUAACACAUGCAAGUCGAACGGAAAGGCCCUGCUUGCAGGGUCCUCGAGUGGCGAACGGGUGAGUAACACGUGGGUGAUCUGCCCUGCACUUCGGGAUAAGCCUGGGAAACUGGGUCUAAUACCGGAUAGGAGCCAUUUUUAGUGUGAUGGUUGGAAAGUUUUUUCGGUGUAGGAUGAGCUCGCGGCCUAUCAGCUUGUUGGUGGGGUAAUGGCCUACCAAGGCGGCGACGGGUAGCCGGCCUGAGAGGGUGGACGGCCACAUUGGGACUGAGAUACGGCCCAGACUCCUACGGGAGGCAGCAGUGGGGAAGAUUGCACAAUGGGCGCAAGCCUGAUGCAGCGACGCCGCGUGGGGGAUGACGGCCUUCGGGUUGUAAACUCCUUUCGCUAGGGACGAAGCUUUUUGUGACGGUACCUAGAUAAGAAGCACCGGCUAACUACGUG
rnacentral:rRNA from 1 species